CCGGACUGCUUGUUAGCACAAACAGAUCGAUCGAUUACAGCAAUGGCGGCCAAGGUGUUCCUCCUCCUCCGACUCAGCAUGGUCGCCGUCGUCCUGGCUGCCAUCGCCACAGUAGCGCUCGCGGAGGAAGCCGAUCCGCGGGCACUGCCGGCACAGUGGACCACCGCGAAGAAGUACAAGGCCACGAUGGACGCCAAGACGCGGCAGGCUUUCGACGGCGUGGUGGCCGCCGCUACGGCAGAGAAGCGGUCCCAGGCGGUGGAGGCCGUGCUGCUGCAGUGAUUAAGGUUUAAGGGAGAGCUCCUGCAUGAAAUUAACCACACGUCCACACGUAUACACUACGGAACAAGUGUUUCCAUCAGACGACCAUCAGUGAAAAAAAACCAUCCUUCUCUGUGUGUGUGCCGUGUUUUUGUCAUUUCUUCUUUCCAUUGCUAGAGAAACGGGUUAUCUUUUUUUUCCCACAUUUAUAAGCGGCAAUACAUGCGUGCACCUGUAGUAGUGUGACCAUAUGUACUGUGCUCUCGGUUUGUAUAUCGAUAGUAGCAUAUAAAGCUACUACUCCCGAUUUGUAACUAUAGAUCUCGGUAUUAAAGCCAUUUUAUUUUUAUUUUUAAAAAGCCCUACAAGCAUUUUUUUGGUGAAGCUAACCUAUUUUAGAAAAAUUGUUUGGCAAAACAGUUUCAUGUAAAGUAUAGAGAGAGAUAGAAAUGAGAGGGAAAGU
rnacentral:lncRNA from 7 species